UACACGUUUUUAAACAUCAUUUUGUGUGUAAGUGUGUAUUAGUACAUGCUAACGAUAUUCAAAAAGUACAUACCUCAAAGAAAACGAUGACGCGAGUUAUCGUCUCUAACGUUCGAGGACUACAAAAAACACUCGGAUUGUAGGCAACAGUUUACUUCCUGGGAUUAGUGACGUAGAUAAGACCAACAUUAUCAUAGUUCAGCCCUCUCUGCUUUGCUUGGGUACGCCCUCAAAGACGGGGGUGGGGAGCGCCGAGUCAGAAGAGAGCUAAAAUGGCGGAGGUUGUGAGUCCCUGCUUUGACUCUGUUUGCAAACUCUUGUUUCAUUGUUUAAGCGAUUAAAUCUCUCGAGUAGACGCUGUCUCUUUAGAUGCGAGGGCAAAAUAGCACUUUAUGGACUUACACAGAGGACAUCAUGUUUAAUACGGUUCCGGAAAAAUCCAGUCAGAAGUUGUUCACGGAGUUUUCACAAUAACUGCUUCUCAUGAACCGAAGCUGGAUUUGCGCGACGUCUCCUCUUGAAAGUUGGAUUACUGUGCACUUCUGGAUCACAGGCUAUUCGCAGCUGUACACAUCCUUCUACACUGUAUGCAAACAUGCAACAUCAUAACACACAGUACAAGGAGUCAGACUGGCAUAUGAGGAGCAAAGGAACCCAGGCAGUAGCAUCGUUUCACAAUGUUUCCAUCAUCAUCAUCAGUGGAUGCCUUUGCCGUCCGUAGCCUGAGAUUUCAGAUUUGCAGCAAAAUUUUUUUGAUUUUCUCCUUUAUUGGAAUGCUGUG